UGGAAUUACAGGUGUGCACCACCAUACUCAGCUGCUUCUUUUGCUUGACCUGAACUCUUAUUUCCUUGGUAUUUCUUCUCACAAAUCUUUAUUCCCUCCCACGACAACGCGUGAACACUGCCUCCCUUUUUCCUUUCCACCAGGUCUUCUCCCUUCUGGUCUUCAGACUGGUUUGUCAGCCAGUCCUGCCUGGAUGUGGGAAGAAGGUCUUCACUGCUGAGCCUCAGUUUCCUUGCCUUGGAGUGGAGACAGUAAUCUCUGCCUGCCGGGUUGUGACUGAGACUGCGAGGGCUUCUCUGAAGAAACCAAGGGACCGGAGGAGGAGGACCCAGGGCUCUCAGAGAGGGCCUGACCCACAGAGGACAGCCUUCUGCUUUCGGCCCCAAGGGGUGGCCAGGCCUGCCUGCCAGCUCCCCACCUGCGCCCACACCCACAGAGCCUGCCUGCAGCUCAGAGCAGCAGAAAUCAUUUCCAGAAGGAAAGCUGAGCAAUGAAAUCCCUGUGACUCAUCGGAGAUAUUCAGGGAACACUUUCAUUUAUAAAAUAACAACAGAGUAUUGUGACAAAGAAACAUUCAGAGAAGUUCUUCUAUACUUAAAUAUGGUUGGCUGUUUAUUUAUUUACUCCUGAGAGAUGCCUCGCUAUGUUGCCCAGGGUCAUCUGUAACUCCUGGGCUCCAGUGAUCCUUCUGCCUCAGCCUCCCAAGUAGCUGUAGACCAUAGGCACAUUUGGUUGUGUGACAGAAUUUUUAAAAAUCAGGAAAUGCUUGCAAAGUGGCUGAGACUAGGGCACUGACAGAUACAGUGUUUGGUGAGGACCCAAGUCCUUAUCGGUGGAUGGCUGUUUUCUGACUGUCCUGACAUGGCAGACACACCUUGUUCUCUUGUUCUGUUGUGUCUCUGUUGUGUCUGGGCAUUACUCCCAUCCAUAAUGGCUUUACUUUCAUCACCUAGUUCCGUCCUGAGGUCCCCCUCUCCAAACACUGUCAUGUUGGGGAUUUAGGCCUCAACAGAUGUAUUUUGGGGCACACAAUCAUUCAGUCAUGUUUAUCUAUAUAAAUGUAUAUAAUAUAUAUAAUGUAUAAAAUAUAUAUACAAACUUAACAACAAUGUGAGUUUACAUAAGCAGUAUGAAUUGCUCAAUAUUACAAAUAUUCCUUAGUUGCUUUGUGUAAUUUCUACAGUUAGCAUAAAGUCAUGAAUGUUCUUUAACAUAAAUUCAAAUAUAAAAAGGUGUAAAAACAUGAGUGUGUCAUACUAAUGGAAGUGAUGGUCUGUGAUGAGAGUCUAUUGUAUCCUUACUUUUUGAGUAAAAGGAUCUUGUGGGUUAGUUAA